GACGAACGCUGGCGGCGUGCUUAACACAUGCAAGUCGAACGGAAAGGCCCUGCUUUUGUGGGGUGCUCGAGUGGCGAACGGGUGAGUAACACGUGAGUAACCUGCCCUUGACUUUGGGAUAACUUCAGGAAACUGGGGCUAAUACCGGAUAGGAGCUCCUGCUGCAUGGUGGGGGUUGGAAAGUUUCGGCGGUUGGGGGUGGACUCGCGGCUUAUCAGCUUGUUGGUGGGGUAGUGGCUUACCAAGGCUUUGACGGGUAGCCGGCCUGAGAGGGUGACCGGCCACAUUGGGACUGAGAUACGGCCCAGACUACUACGGGAGGCAGCAGUGGGGAAUAUUGCACAAUGGGCGGAAGCCUGAUGCAGCAACGCCGCGUGCGGGAUGACGGCCUUCGGGUUGUAAACCGCUUUCGCCUGUGACGAAGCGUGAGUGACGGUAAUGGGUAAAGAAGCACCGGCUAACUACGUG
rnacentral:rRNA from 1 species